AUGCUCUCUUCGGCAGCACAUAUACUAAAAUUGGAACGAUACAGGGAAUAGCAUGGCCCCUACGCAAGGAUGACAUGUAAAUUCGUGAGGCAUUCCAUAUUAAA